GCAUCCGUAGCUCAGCUGGAUAGAGUACUCGGCUACGAACCGAGCGGUCGGAGGUUCGAAGGCGCAGGGAAUCGCCA
rnacentral:tRNA from 1 species